UUCUUAGAAAUGGGAACAAAACACCCAUGGAAGUGAAAGACCCCCGAAGGGAGACCCUCACUCAAGCCUCGGGACAGCCGCGGACCCAAGAAGACACUGAGACUG
rnacentral:pre_miRNA from 20 species